rnacentral:rRNA from 1 species
GACGAACGCUGGCGGCGUGGAUUAGGCAUGCAAGUCGCGCGACGGACCUUCGGGUUACGGAGCGGCGAACGGGUGAGUAACACGUGAACAAUCUGUCCCUACAUUCCGGAUAAUUGGCCGAAAGGCCUUGUAAUACGGGCGAGGAUGUUUGAGAGGCAUCUCUUAAACAGGGAAGGUGCAACGCAAGUUGUGCCGUGCAGGGAGGGGUUCGCGGCCUAUCAGUUAGUUGGUGGGGUAACGGCCUACCAAGACGACGACGGGUAGCUGGUCUGAGAGGAUGGUCAGCCACAUUGGAACUGAGACACUGUCCAGACUCCUACGGGAGGCUGCAGUCGAGAAUCUUGGGCAAUGCACGAAAGUGUGACCCAGCGACGCCGCGUGGAGGAUGAA